rnacentral:misc_RNA from 1 species
GAUGAAGAACGCAGCGAAAUGCGAUAAGUAAUGUGAAUUGCAGAAUUCAGUGAAUCAUCGAAUCUUUGAACGCACAUUGCGCCCGCCAGUAUUCUGGCGGGCAUGCCUGUUCGAGCGUCAUUACAACCCUCAGGCCCCCGGGCCUGGCGUUGGGGAUCGGCGGAAGCCCCCUGCGGGCACAACGCCGUCCCCCAAAUACAGUGGCGGUCCCGCCGCAGCUUCCAUUGCGUAGUAGCUAACACCUCGCAACUGGAGAGCGGCGCGGCCACGCCGUAAAACACCCAACUUCUGAAUGUUGACCUCGAAUCAGGUAGGAAUACCCGCUGAACUUAAGCAUAUCAAAGCGGAGGA